CACUGAUAGAGCAUCAAGCAUUCUUCACAGUAAUCUCACUAAAUCCUCAUUAGAACCCUGUAUUGUCACAUGAUUAUCUUUAUUUUCCAGGUGGGAGGAGAGGUGGAGAAACUCACUUGCCACAGGGGCAGGAAAAGAAGGACCUGGGAACUGAAACCACGUAUCUCUGGUUCUAACACCCAUAUUCUCAACCUAUGGCUAUACAUUGUCUCCCGCAGAUAGCCUUGAUCUAAAACCAUAUCUCCAUGGCGUCAGCAAUUCCGUAGAAGAACACUGACCCUUAGUAAGCAUUUGUUAUGCUGCCAGGAUCAGGCCAGUGACAUCACAAGCAUUAACCCACUUUAUCCUCCUGAUCCAGUAAAGCAGGUAUUCCUAGUUCUGGUUCAUAAAAGAAGAAAGUCAGCUAAUAGGAGUCAAGGAACUUGCCAAAGGUUAAAGUGUGGGUGGGACCAUUCCUCCUUUGCCUGACUUCCAAGAAAUGCCUUUGUAUGUUUCACCUCCCCCAUAGUGGCUUCAGGAAUAUGGCAGGAACAGAAAAGGAAUUGGAGCCAUGCACUAACCCAAUGGGGACAUCCAACGAGUCUUUCUAUUGGGUGUCACAUCAACAGAAGAAUAAGAGUCAGAAACUGGACCAUCCAGGAAACCCCGGGAAGGGUACAUCCAGAAGAAAGGUGGAAGAAGGAGAAGAAGGUGAGACUACUUGGAAACCAUACCUGACAACCAGCGUGGCUGUUGUAUGACCUCCUGUCUGGGGAAGGAGAGAACAUGUGCUUCUCAAGACCAGUAUGUAGUGAAUGGUUUGUCAUCUGGUAGAGAGGGUUAAAAAUAUGGACACUACCAAGAUUAAUACUAAGCAAUUAUUCACUUGUUUGGUGCAUAGAUUUUACAGUAAUUACUUAACAAGAGAUGGCAUUUAGCUAAAUUACCUUGUAUAUGAAUACAUAUUUCUUUAAAGAUUGAGGGAUCCCUGGGUGGCGCAGCGGUUUAGCGCCUGCCUUUGGCCCAGGGCGCGAUCCUGGAGACCUGGGAUCGAAUCCCACAUCGGGCUCCCGGUGCAUGGAGCCUGCUUCUCCCUCUGCCUGUGUCUCUGCCUCUCUCUCUCNGACUA
rnacentral:lncRNA from 1 species